UUCGGCAACUGCAAUCUUUUCACACCAAUACAAAUAGGACUCUCGCUCACACAAUCUACACUCACCAAAUACGAAAAACACUUCCUCGAUCUCUACCAAAAGCAAACAACGUUUAAUUACUUCCUAUGAGAUGUUUCCAUGACUCUUUGAGAAUGGAAAAACAUAUUGAAAGCUUUGGUUUGACCAAUCUUAUUUUAUUUUUCAAAUGACAUGUAUGUGGUUUCUUUUUCUUUUUGUUUUUGGUCACCAUGUGGCAUCUUUGUGUAUCUAUUAUUUAGAAAUUUAGAACUAUUAAUGCGAUGAGUGUUGGAAAAAAAUACAAUGGAGAAAUGUUCAUAUAUUGUUAUUCUUUGUUUUUUUUUUCUACAUCUAGCUUCUAUGUUAUAUUAGUUUUUGAAUUCUUUAAAAAACAAAAACUAAAAACAUUGAUAAUUGGACAUGUCAAACAAAGGCAAAUGAAAAAACGAUUAGUAUAAGAAACAUGAAAUCCUUCCAUUUACAUUGUUUUUAGCUAUUAUUGAGAGUAUGUUUACAAUACAAUUCUCACAUAACCUUAAAUUGUAAAGUACACGUAUAUUAUUGGAAUUCCUGACUUUUGAAUCAUUAAAUGAGUCUUAUUACCAAACUAGAGAUAACUAAACUCCUCUUUCUGCAACAAAAAAAAAGUCUUUAGGAACCACUAUGCAAUUCAAAUUCAAUUGCAAAGAUUUGAAUCCACAAACCAGCAACUUAUUAGAUAACCAUACGUGUUACAUAUGAUAUUUAACAGUUGGAUAUUUCCUUUUGAUGAAUAAUUUCAAUCAAAUCUUUUUAAAAUUAUAUUAUUACAUAAACAUACUGUAUGUAUAAAAAAUAUAUAAUUUUUUUUUUGCAGCAAUUUGAUUUUUUAGAAACAGAUGUAUUACUUAAACGAUACAAAAAUGGAUGUACUAAAGUAUGAUUGAUAAUUGUGUAGCACGGGUCAUGUGAUAGAACGGGUUAUAAUUUACAUAAUUAUGAUUAUAGAUAUUUUACGGGUUGUCUUGUAUAACUCACAAAAUAUUUUAAUAUGAAAUUAUAUUAUGUAAACAAAUAUUAUGUCAAUAUCAUUUCAUUAUUUUAAAUAUUAUAUUUAUUAAUUUGAUUAAAUUACGAUUAUAUAAAAAAUAAAUUAUCAUAUAAUAUUCUACGGGUUAAAUCAUAGAAUUAACAAUCAAAAUAUAGUAAUACACUCUUAUAUAUAUACCAAACAAAAUUAAUAAAAAGAAUAUAUUUUACAAUGUCGUCCCGCGGUGUACCGCGGGUUAAAAUCUAGUUUGUAGUAUUAACGAUAAAGUUGGAAUCUAUGAUUGUAGGAUUCAUAACUUUAAACUAACAAAUUUGAGCAUAUCAUAUUCUGUAAUAUAAUUUUCUUUAUCGCAAACUCUUGGAAAAUAUCGCUUUAAAGCUUUUGGAGAUAUAUCAUGCAGUGAGAAGAUUUCGAACUCAUUUACUUCUUUUAUUGAUUUUUAAUGCAAUUUAUUCAGUUUCUAAUGUUUGUUUCAUUCACUAUGUUUGAAUAGAAUAUUUGUUAGGUUUAAAGUUCUCAUUAUAGAUUUCAGUAUUCAUGAUUUGCUAGGUUUGCUGUUAGUUAGAAUUCAUAACUGUAACUGUUUUUUUCCAUAAGUUGUUUUUAAAGUUAAAUCUAGACUAAUCACAUGGAAAUUAGAUAUAUUUGAUUUGACAUAAAAUUGUGAUUAAUUACUUAACAUAACCUAGGGUGAGUAAACUACUUAUUGGCAAAGAUAUUUGGUUUAGGGAUUUUGUAAACAUUUUGAGCUUGGCAAUAAUGUUAGUUUUAUCGUUAGGAUUCGUAAAGGAAUUUGGAAUUCUAAUUUUUAGACUUAGGUAAUCUUCGCAUCGGAACUUGGUUGAUUUUACCUUUAUGUUUUAAGUUUAAGACUUGAUGCGAAGAUUAUCUAAGUCUAAAAAUUAGAAUUCCAAAUUCCCUUGCAAAUCCUAAAGAUAAAACUAUCAUUAAUGUCAAGUUUGAUAUGUUUAGAAAAAAAAACUAACAUUAAUGUCAAGCUCGAUAUGUUUACCAAAUUCCUUUGUGAAUAGUAAUUUCGCUUACCCUAGGUUUUGUCUACUAAUUGAUCACACUUCCAUGUCAAAUCAAUUAGCCUAAGAUCUAAAAUUCAGGUGGCCAGUCUAGAUUUAACAUUAAGAACAACCUACAGUGAAGAACAAUUAAAUUUAUCAAUCCUAAUUAACUAACAAAUUAAUCUAGCAAGUCAUGAAAUCUCUAAUGAGUAUCCUAAACCUAACAAACAAACAAACUAUUCAGACAUUAGGAAUGAAACAAAUUUCAUAAACUGAAUAAAUCGCAUUAAGAAAUCAAAUAAAGAAGUAAGAGACUUUUGAAAUUUUCUCUCUCGGAUGAUGAGUCUGAUUUGUUUCUCCAAAACUAAGCUAUUCUCUCAAGUUUCCAGAAAAUCAAGCAUAAGUCUAAAGUCUAAACAUUGACCUAAAAAUCAUAUAAUGUAUAUAUAACACGAUUUGGGCUUUUAUGGUAAAGAAGGAAAACUAACCAAAAAAAUUUGCAAAUUUUCAAAAGUUAAAAAAGUGCAAAAUUCAGUUGUCGUCAUAUAUUGGUGUAAACCGACACCAAAGGUGGUGUCGAGCCACAUCCACACCAGAUUUGCUCUCUAUGCAUACGUUUCUUCAGCACAACUUCUCCAUAGUAUUCCAAAUUUUCCAAAUAAGUCCAACUUGUACUUAAAGAUUCUAAAAGACUUUGAUAUGUCAUAUAUGAUAUGUACGUCAUAUAUGAUAUGUAAAUGUAUAAUUUUUUUUCUCCUAACCAUUAAUAUUUGGAUAAACAGAAGUCAACUUUAUUCAUAAAAUAAAAACAUUGCAAAGAUAUUUAGAAAAAAAAAAGAAAAAGAAAAAUAAAUGUCCCUUUGAGUGGUUUUGUAGUAGUACUGUAGUAGUAGUUAAAAGAAACAAAACUCUACGACAAAUACGGCAUCGUUCAAAGAACCCAUAAGGCCAACAACACAACUCAACCUCAUUCUUCGUAGACUUUGACUCUAUCUCCCACUUCAUCCCACUAUCUCUGUUUUGUUUAUCUUUCGUAUCUCUCUCUCUCUCUGCCUAACCCCCAAAAGUAAACGGCCGUUAUCACGGCUUCGAAACGGAAACAGCUUCUUUAACAGCAAUAGACAACGACCCCUCAGUUACACCGUUACCUUUACCCAUUGUUGUAUUCGUGGACUGUAUAGUCAUACCGGAAAGAUUAGGAGAAGAAGGAACGUUAACUCCGACGUCGGCAGCUCCAGGGAUCAAAGGGUUACGUGUGUGACACGUGGCCGUUGAGAUGGCGGUGGCUAAAGAGAUUGGCAUGAGACAGAGACCUUUCCCUUGAAGGUAUUGCAUGGCUGAGCCCAUGUCUUCUUCCAUUAGCUUCGCCACUUGAUGCUCCGUCAUCGUAAUGCUACUGUCGUUGGAGGAGUUUCCGGCCGUCUGGUUACCUCCGGCCAUGGCGGAGGAUGCAUUACCGUGAGAUCCACCUGCCUGAAUAAAUUUUUAAAAAAAGUCAUUAAAAGAAACAAAAAAGACAAAACAUGAAAGUGAAACCCUAAAGUGAUAAUACAUUUGUCGGCACGCGUGCUCUUCUUUUGUUUAAUAUUUUAGAAUUUUAGGAUUUGUCUUAUAUCUAUCAAUAUAUGUAAUUCUGUUGCUUGAAUUGUUUUUACAUAAAAUUUGUUUGAACUUCUUGCACGAUUUAUCUAUUUUUGAAACACACAAAAACACAACAUUUUCUUUAUUUUCCUAGUAAAUUUUAACAUUGGCUUUGAAUCUAUGUUUAUUGGAAAUUAUUGGAAAAAAAAUGAGUAGAGAUAAUGAAAUUAAGUACCUCAGAGAUUUGAGAAGAAACUGAAGCAGCACCUCCCAAUCUGCUCAUGCUCAGUACCUAAAACAUACAUAAUUAUAAAUUUAAAAACAGAAUUCUGAAGUACACUGGUCCACUACUUUUAAUAUAAAUAUAUAUCCAUUAUGUAACCUGUGUAAAUGUCAUAAAAAUUCAGAAAAUUAAAUAUCAUUAAUAUUUAUAUAAAAUAUUUAGGAGGGAGCAUAAGGAAUUUUAGUUGCAGAGACCCAUAUUUUGAUUAAAUGAUAUAUAGAGAUUGUACUCAAUAAUAUAUGUCAGUUUUUUUUUUUUUGAUAUGUCAACUAUAAAAGGCAAAGAGAAAGAAUCUUCCAUCACUUUGUAAAACUAGAUUUACCAUCUUGUAUUAAAAAUAAAAAAGUAACCAUGUAAUAAAAAAAAAGUGUAAAAAGAUCUGACCUUGACUUGGAGUUGUAAAAACUUGACAUAAUCUAUAAUCUCAUCGAGCAUCGAUGCCUUGUCUGUCUGUCAAUUAUUAUCAAAUAAUUAAAUUAAUACUGUCAGAACUGAGUGAGAUCCUAACCCCAUUUAUUACUACUGCAUUAGUUAACUUUAUUAUUGUUAGCCUAAUUAAUUAGCUAAUCAGUGUUUUAAUCAUUUGAUUGAUAUACUACUAUACUAUAUCUCUCUAUAUAUAUUAGACUAAAAGAACCACCAAUUAUAUGAGUAAAAAAAAAUAUAUUAAUUUGACACUUGAAUUCAAUUUUGUAUACUGCAAUUCAAUUCUAGGUCUAGAACUAUAUAUAUAUAUAUAUAUAUAUAUAUAAAGAGAUAAUUAUAACAGUGGAGUUAUGAUAUUUUAACUUGUAAAUAAUCAGAAUUCAUAAUUAGAUGGGAUUAUAGAUCAUACAAUUCCAGAGUGGAUGAUGAUGAUGAUUAUUAAAAUGAUGUAAGUGACGGUUUUCUCUCUUAAUGAUUCAUUUAAUUUUAAAUAUUUAAAAUAAAACCUUUCAUUUAUGAAACUAAAGUAAAAAUGAAUUAAAACAAAAAAUAAUUUACCUUAUUGCCGUUUGGGACAAGUUCUUGAAGAGCUUUCAUUCUUUCCGCAAUCCUCUCUCUUCGUAACUGUCCCAUUAUAACAUUUUUAAAACUUCACAAAUUACUCAAAAUAUAAAACUUUCAAAAAAAAAAAUCAAUUUCGACACUUUUCUCGGUAACUGUUACGAAUUAAUAUGCAUAGAACAAAAUCAAAUAAAAAUUGAAUUAUAAAGUAAAAUAAAAUAAAACUAACCCUUUCGGCGAUACUAUGAGGAUCAGUUGCUUGACCUCUCCUAGCUCGGACUUUAGUCCUACUCUGCGGCGGAGCCGCCGCCACCGUACCACCCGUAGCUGUAGACGCACUUGCCUGCGGUUGCGUUUGCGUUUGCGUUUGUCUUUCUUGGUUCAUCAUUCCACCUCCCGAUCCCUAUAUACAUAUUUUAUCAUUAGUAACGUUUUGAUAUAAAUACAUAAAGACUAAAAAGAAAGAGAUAGAUCACCUGAGGGAUAUGAAAGUUAGGAAGAGAUCCAGAUGAGGAGAAGCCAUUGUAAAGAGCAUGAACGGAGGAGCCAUCAUUCAAAGGCAUCAUCAUGAUCUGUUGGUUUCUUGAAUCGACGUCGUGGCUAUGGAAGCCAUCGGUGGGAGGAGGAGGAUGAGCAUCGUCUACGACGGAAGGCCAAGGGGUAGAGGAAAAGAUUUGGUCGAGGAAGUCUUCGUGGUCGAAAGUGGUGGUGGUCGGAGUUUGGAUAUGGGAAGAAGAUGAAGAAAAUGGAGUUAGAAGAGAAGAAGAGUUCAUCAUGAUGAUAUGAUGAUGAUAGGCUUCUUCUUCUGCUUUUUUCUACACUUUUUUUUUUUUUGGGGAGGAGGAGGUUGAAAAUGUUGAGGUUUGGCUUUAUUAUUAUAAAGAAAAAUUGUUGUAGUCUUUGUAGAUAAUAUUAUUAUUUUAAAAAUGUAGGGUUUUAAUUAAAAAUAUCAUUUUUUGUGAUAGUUUUAAAAGGAGUAGUAUAUAUACUUUUUUAUUGUGAUGAUGAAUAGAUGAUUAUCUUGGUCUCUUUAAGUUCGUUUCCGUCUACAACUUUGGUUUCUCUUUACUCCAAAUCUUAAUCAUCCCUUUUUACAGCUAAUCAUGCAUAUAUUAAUUUUUGUACAAAACAUUUUCUUAUAGAUAUUAACCAAUAAAACAACAGUAAAUUCAGUUCUUUUCAUUUAAUAUUUCUUGAAUUUUACAAUUUUUUUUAAUUAAUCAACCAAUAAAUUGCAUUGAAAGGCUAGAAAAUCUUUCUUUGUGGAGUAUGAUUUUAUAUAUAACUCAAAUGUAUGAUUUUUCAUAACAAGUAAAAAUAUAUUUCAAGUUGAUAUAUGGUUGAAUAAUUUAUUUACAUCAUGGUGAUUUUAAUAACUUUUGUGUGUACACGAAAAUUGUUGUCGAUGUAGUAGCUAGUGUGGUCAUCACAAGUCAGAAUGCCAAAAAACUCCACUCUAAGAGAAUAAUGAUCAAGCCAAAACUAUAUUCUUCGAUCGAUCGGAUUCAAGAGAUGGUCAUGGAUGACCAUUAACUAGUCCCCGAACCACCUAAGUUACCCAACGGUGAAUCUACUUCUCAAUUUAUUCUUACAAUAUACAUAGAGAUACAAAUAAAUGUUUUUAUAAUCUUUCCACGAUGACAAUUAUCUAAAAAAUAUAAAAACAAGAUUAGGUACAUUCAUCAAUAUGAUACUAGUGCUAUCUCGAAAUUCUACUGUUUUUGUGUUGUCCCCAAGAUCACAAACAUCCUAUCCCAAAAACGAUAUUCGUAUUUGAGAUUAAUAAUCACAAAUUACGAUAAUAUAAUUUUAAAAAUGAAAUUCCCUAUAGAUCAUGACUUGGAGCUCCAAAUUUUUUUAUAACUAUAUAUUUUCUUCUCUCUUAUUUCUUUUUUUUUGUUUUUUUAAUAGCUUUAAACUAUAUAUAUUAUUGUGUCACAGUAAGCACCACAUAUAUAAUCUUUUUAGUUAGAUAAAUAAUUAAAACUGUAAGAUUUGCAAACUUUAAUUUUGUGUUCGGAUGUUUGACACUUCUUCUCUUUGGAUCCACUAAUACAUUUAGGGUUUCGAGGUUUGUAUUUUGUAUUCAGAAAUAAUGUUUUUUUUUUCUUUUCGAUUGCUACAACAUGAUGAACGAGUUUUAAUGAAAUAUAUAUAUAGAUAACAAAAGUCUUCAUUCUUGAAAACAUAUGUACUUAUAAAAGUACAUGUAUGUGAGUGAGACUGUGGUGCAUGUAUCUUCUCUCAUGUUAUGCACACUUAUGAGUUAUGUCAGUAUAUAUGCUCAUCUACGUUCAUGUAUGUCUACGUAUGUGCAUGUGUGUAGUGCAUAUAUACACAUAUGGAAUACGUAAUACAUAUUAGCUUUUUAAGUUAUAUAAUCGAACAAUAUAAGGGACACGUCUUCUAGUUGGCGUGUCCACUUUCCCACUAUCCGAAUUAUAGGUUUCAAAAUGAUAAAAUUUCAUUUUCUGUUAAUCGAUAGAAUAUCAUAAUUUUGGAUUACUCAAGAUCAUGACAUAUCUCGUUACUAAAAGCCUUAAAACUAUACGAUUCUUUGAAAUUUGGAACUACACAAGAUCAUGACAUAUCUCAUUACUAAAAGCCUUAAAACUAUAUACGAUUCUUUGACAUUAUUUCUUCCGCUAUUAAUUAAUCUUUAUUUGUUAAUUAGUAAUAUCAUUAUACAUUAAGAACAAAAACACACAUUUAAGUAUUUCAGGUUUUGCUAGAAAAUAGAAAUUGAAUUCGUUUUGAAAGAUAAACUGUUCUUGUGAAAAAUCCAAUAUGUAACAUAAUAAGUUUUUUUUCUUUGGUAGAUCGUAGUAGAAUAUGAAAGUAUUUAUGUAACUAGACAUGUAAAGUAAUAUAGUUAUACUAUGAGACGAGUUCUAGUACGUUAAAAAAAAAAUGGACUAGUAGUAAUAAACUAGUCUGCGUGAUUAAGCACAUGGACUGAUGGAAGUACUUAAGCACACAUGGGACAUUCUGUGUUAGCACAAACUCACAAGAGGAGAAAUUAAAGAUGGGCUUUAAUUACACUCAUUUAUUAAUUGCAAAUGUUGGUCAAAUAAAUAAUGUACUACAAAACAAACCUAGAGAGAGAUGCAUAUAAUUAGUAUUAUUAUCAAGACGACAUGGACUGAUGGAAGUACUUAAACAAAUAGUACUGCGUAAUUAUCUUUGUUUGUUCUUAAUAAAGUAAUUUGGAAGUCAUAAAAAUAUGUUUUAUCACAUUCUUCUGAUAACACUUAAACUGGAGAUAGGUGUAUCUUGGUAUACGUCUUUGUCAUUUCUUCCUUUACACCUCAAUCCGCAUAUACCACAUAAAACUAUAUUUAAAGUUAAGUCAAUUACACAUAUUUUUCGCAAAUAAAUAUAUAUAAAUAGUUUGAACUUGUAAAUAUUUGAAAAAUUCUCUUAAAUACCACUAAGAUGAGUAUUUGUUCCAAAAAUGCUAUUAUGAAGUUUAUUUUCUAAAAAUACUACAAAACUAAAACUUAAAAUUUUUAGCAUUAAAAAUUAAUUUCUAAAUCCUAAAUCCUAAACCCUAUCCCUAAAAACUAUAUUCUUAAUAAAAACUAUACUCUUAAUAUAAAUAAUCAACCCAAAUAUAAAACAAAAAAUGUAUACAUUUUCAAAAUUCAAUUUUUUUAUUUUUAUGAUAUUUUUGGAAAAGUAAAACUUUUGUGGUAUAUUUGGAGAAAAAAUAAAUGGUAGUAUUUUUGGAAAAAUACUUAAAAAUGUUAUCCAAGAGAGUUUCUCUAAAGGUUUUAGUGUGUACUGAACUAAUACAAUAUCAAAAGUUUAUGUACAAAGAAGUUACAUAUAUAAACUUACUCUACUUUUGUUAUGGAUGAUCAGAAUUGUCAAUUUGAUAAAUUAUUUUUAUUUUUAUACAAUGAUUAUAAUUUUAAAUGCAGCUAAAUUAUUUAAACUAAAGAGAGAGAGAGCAUUACACUUCCACAACUUCUUAAAAUAUUCUUUCACCUAAUAAUUUGGUCAUCGUAUAUUAAGAUAAAAUAUUAAUGUCUCAAUAUAUAAUGCAAGCAAGGAUGGGAAUUGAGAGUUGAGAGUAGUAGACUUUCUUUCUUACAUCGAUCAAAUUGAGACUGAUUUUUUAAUUUAAAUCAUAGUUCGUUUACAUUUUCUUCUUGACAUUCGGCUGUCACUGUCUUAUUUCAAUUAUAAUCUUUUUUCAUAAAAAAAAUCUUACCAUUCAACCACUGUUUGUCAUCCAUUUAGAAUAAUCUGUAAUCUAUUUUUCUAUAUACAAGUUAAUUAAGUUUCACUGGUUUUCUAAUUCAUUAAAUCAAUUAACAAUAAAUGAAUUAGUUUAUGACAUUUAUAUAUUGCUCUAUAUUUCACUUAUAAUAUAAGAAAUUAAAGACUCAGUUUUACGAAAAAGUUUACACAUAUGACUAAAAUGAUCACAAUUUUGUUUUAAGUAUUUUGGGAGAAUUCUACUUUCGAGAUUGAGAAUUUCCUAAAUGAAUAAAAAAUUAUUGAUGUGUUAUUGUCAUGGUUCUCAUUUACUAACAUAUGUCAACUUUGGAAGUUUGAUACUACUCCGAAAGACAUGCCAUAUCCAUAAGACGUUAUGGUUACUCCACAUUUGCAAAGCAUAGUAUUUUUUUUUUUGGUGAUGUUUAUUAUUAUAGAUUCCUCGUCCAUUUUUACCCUCCAUCCUUUGAUUUUGGACAUCUCACUUGGAAUUUGAUAUAGAGAAAUUCAUAAUAUCAUUACUGAUAAAAGCUAUCAAUAUGAUAAAUGGGUUUGAAUAAGAAUUGAGCUCUUAUUUUCAUUAAAACUAAAAUUUGGUGUCAGUAAUACCUUUUUGGGCAUUAAAACUGCUAGAAAUUCUUUUAGUGUUACAUGCUUUAAAACGAACAUUUUUUACAUAAUUUAUGAAACUUAAAAUUUUGUGUGUAAAGUUGGUUCAUGUCCAAUCAAUCAUAAUUGUAGUUAUCAUAUGUUAUUCAUAUUCUUCUCAAUUCAUGCUCAUGUACAAACAUAUCGAGUGGAUUGACGUAAUUUCAAUUUACGAGAGAUAAAAUCACACAUAUAACACCAUUUUAAGACAACUUGUUUCUACUUCUAAACAACUAGCAUAAAUUUUCUUACUAAUAAUGGAACAAAUUUGUAAAAACUGAAUUUUUUACUAUAUAUAUACAGUAUAACCUCUAUAAAUUAAUACUCGAUAAAUUAAUACACUCUAUAAAUUAAUAAAUUUCGCCGGUCCCAACUUGGGACCAGUGUAAUUUUAGACAUAUAUCGAUAAAAUAAUAAGAUAAUAAUUUUUUUGAAAAUCCUUUGUAAAUAUAUAGUCCCAUCAAUAUUAUAAAUUAAUAAUUAGGUAAAAUUUUCAAAAUAUAUGUAUAUAUAAACACAUUAGUUUUUGUUAGAGUUUAUUUUAGAUAUUUUUUUGAAAAACUUUCCAAAUUAGGAAAAUCUCUCUAUAAAUUAAUAAUUAUUAAUUUAUCAAUAAAUUAAAACCUCUAUAAAUUAAUAUAUUUUCAUGGUCCUAACGUUAUUAAUUUAUAGAGGUUUUACUGUACUCCAACGCAAAUGAGAAUUGAGAUAUAUCUCUAUGUGUAUAAAAGAGGUAUACACACAAAUCUAUUUAGUAUAUGAUUUUUUUUUUAAUUUAUUUUAUCUUUUGAGCUUUUUGGCAUUUUAGUGUAAACAAAAUAAAUGUAAAACGCGGUAAAAAAUAUUAUAUGUAAAGCUUUAGUAAUAAUCUUCUAAAGUCCAAAAUAUGGUUUAGGUAAUUUUUUUAUCAAAUGGUUUAAGUAAUUAGGUUUAGUUAUGUUAACUUCCAGCUAAACCAAACCAUGAAUACCCAAUUAACCUUAACUUAUGGUUUUCCACUUGUUGAAUGACUCAUCCAUGGGAGAGGGGGGGGGGGGGAGGGGGGGUUUUGAGUUUGAGUUUGAGUUUUCUGCUGUAUUUUUGUAAUAUAUAUAUAUAUAUGUCAUAAUUGACUAUUGUGAAUGCUGUAAAUGGUAAAAUUACUCGCACAAAACCAAGUUAAUCUAAGCUAAACUUAAUAAAAACCUAUCUAAUCUAAUAUUGUAAUAGUUGAAACUAAACAAAUCGUCCCUUUCCCAACCAUUGGUGUUUGUUUUUGCUAAAAGCUAGAUGGGUCAGAUCAGAAUCAGACAGAACUCCAUACAAGAACAUAAAAAUAUUCAUCUGACCAGUUUGUACUUUCGAUAUACCAUCUGAAAGAAUAAUAUAUUGUAGUAAAAUUUUGGAAAAUUCCACGGAGAUAUCGAUGAGAUUGGUCUCAAACGAUUACCUUUAAGAUGUAUAAAUAUUUAAAAUUUUAACCAUUAACUAAAAACAAAAUUAUUUCAAGUUAUAACCAUUAACCAAAGAUUUAUCAAAUGGAUCUUUGUGUGCUCGAAACAUCACAGUCGUGAGAUGAAACCGUCCCCUGUUAUAAAAACACAACACAACCAAAGCUCUCUCACUCAUCUUUCCAUAAUAUCCUCUUAUUUGGUUACAUAAAAGCUUACAAACCAUAAUACAUAGUUACACUAAUCACUCCCUUUUAUUCGCAGUUUUCGAUUUAAUCCGAUACAAACACGACGGAUUUGAUUUGAUUUGGUUCUAAGAUGAUGGACAUUAUAGAAAAAAGGGAUACUAACCCAUAGAGUAAGAAGGUGUUGGCAAGUUAAUGACAGUGGUCUUCACUUUAGUCAUCAAAUUGAUGCUAUUUGUCACACCUUGUGAUCCUAUUCCACUAUCCUUAAGUCCCUGUGUAUUCCAAUCCAUAACCUAGUUAGCUUGAACGGUUAAGUCAUAACCGAGGGAAAAAAUAAGUCUAGAAAUUUUUGAUUUACCUGGAAAGGGAAGUGGUCCGGUCCACGAGCUGGUGCAGAGUUGAUCUGAACGGUUCCUGUCUCCAUUGCAUCACUGAUCAGUAUGGCCUUGUUGAUGUCUUUAGUGAAUACACAUCCCUUUAAAUCAAAGUGUUUUGAGUAAGCUCCGGUUAAGUGCAAACUAAAAUAAACCGGACUAAACAAAAAUAGCCAAACCUGGAGGCCAAAGUUACUAGCAUUGCAAUGAUUGAUCCCUUCUUCAACAGAACUGAUCCUCAAGACAGGCACAACAGGACCGAAUGGUUCCUCCCAUGCGAUUCUCAUGUCCGGUCUAACAUUGUCCAAAAGCAACGGCCAAAUCAAGUUACCUUCUCUUUUAUACUCUUGGCAAAACGUUGCUCCUUUCUCCUUAGCAUCCAUCACCAAUCCUUCAAUGAAAUUAGCUGAAGAUUCCGAUACCACGGCUGUGAUAUCGGAGUUAUCUUCAGGCGGUCCAACCGUGAGUUUCGCCACUUUAGCUUUCACUUUCUCAACAAGUUCAUCUGCCACUGAUUCCAUCACUAGUACCACCUUCACCGCAGUGCACCUCUGACCGCUGGUUAAGGUAGAUAAAACCCGCGGUUAAAAACUUGAUAGAAUUAUCGGUUAAUUAAUACACUCAUUGUAGCUAGUUAACUAGAUUACCUGUAAGAGAAUCCUCCUUUGAUGAUGUUGGAAGCAACUAAGUCAAGAUCAGCAUCCUCCAAGACAAUGCAUGCAUCUUUACCUCCAAGUUCCAUUUGAAGAGGGAUCAUACCAGCUUUCUUAGAGAUUGAGAUUCCGGUAUCACCACCCGUGAAACUGAAACCGGUCAUCCAAAAUUUUAGUAGGUAACAGGAACAUGACCUGUUUGUUGAAUGUAUAUAUAUACCUAAUGCAGUUAACAGCAGGAUGCAUAGUGAGGAAAUCGCCAAUCUCAGAUCCCUUUCCAGUGAUGCAGCUGAUAAGUCCUUUAGGGAAACCGGCUAAGUGAAAGCAAUGUACCAUAUGAAGACAAGAAACAGCUCCCUAAAAGAAACAGACCGUUAAAAACAAUGUUUAUAACAUAUAGUUUUAAAACAGUGUGAAGUUUUUGUAGUUACUUGAGUUGGAGGUUUGAGGACAAGGGAGUUCCCGGCGAUCAAAGCCGGAGCGAUCUUUGAUACAGCGAGAUUGACCGGAUAAUUGAAUGGAGGAAUAGCCAAAACCACACCAAGAGGAAUCUGUAGCUCAGAAGAGGAAACACACAAUUUGAUCAAAACAUUUGUAAAACUUCAACCAUUGAUGCAGACAUAUGAAUCAAAGAGAUUAUACCUUGGAAGUGAGACAGUACUUAGUACGGUCAUUACCGGGGAAACUAUCAGAUAGCAGAAACUUCCCUUCACCUAAGAUCCUAACACCUUCUUCAGCACAAUAAGAGAUCAAAUCUCCAGACCUAACAACCUUUCACCACAACCAAACAUCAGAGAUCUGCCAAAGAAACUGAUGCAAAAAGAGAGAGAGAGAGGAGAGUGAGACCUCAGUAACAGAAUCUUUGGCGGGUUUAGCGAUUUCCUUGACAAGAGACUCAGCCAUGGGAGCUUUGUUAUCUUUAAGGAUCGCAGCAGCUUUGUGAAGAAGCUCAGCUCUUUUCCAAAGAGGAGUCUUCGCCCACGACUUCUGAGCAGAUUUCGCCAUCUCCAUCACCGCGUUCACUUCUUCUUGCGUGCAUGCUGUGUUUAAAAGAAAAAAACAGAACAUUAUCUUAUCUUGAAAUCCUCUGCUUUCACUUCCUCUGUUUUUCUCUUAGGAGAUUCUUAGGUUGUUUAUCUUAAUUUAAUCUCAAUUUCCCAUUUUUUCAACUGUUUUAUCAACUAUUCAUAUGUAGAAGAUCUCUAGUUCUGGUGAAAUCAAGAAAGCAUGAAACUUUAUAAGACAUUAGUGAGAAGACAUUACCUUGAACCUUGUACUGUGGCUUCCUUGUAGCCGGGUUAAUGAUGGCAACACUCUUACCAGAGGAAGAAGUCUUCCACUCUCCAUCAGCGUAGUAUUUGUAGACUUCUCCAUCUAUAAUCUCUGCAAACAAUCCAGUCCCAGCCAUUGUUGUCUGAAAACAAAACCUAAACGCAAAGAAAACUAAGUAGUGUGUUGUGUGUUCUGUUCACACAAUGUAUAUAUAGCCAAAGAGACAAAGACAAAACAGAGAAGAAGAAGAAGACUCUCUCCUCUGUGUCUCGCUUCUUGAGUGUUGAAAGAGAGAGAGAGGGGAAUUGAGUUUAAUGAUAGGUUUAAUGGAAGGAGUGGUGAAAGAGCAAGAAAGGUAGAUAGAUAAGUGAAAAAUCUUGAAAAGGAUAAAGAAAGGAAGAUGAAAAAAAAUUGUAUGGUGCAGAAAGGAGAAGGAGAAGAGAAGAGAGUUUUCUUGGUGUGUGAUCGUUUUGUUGGUUAUUAUUGAAUAGCUUUGGUCCUACAUCAUUGGUUUAUACACAACCACAAAGCAAUGUAUUUGAAUUCAUACACUAACAAACAUGCAUGUAUUUAACUCCCGAUGUCCGUUUUUAAAAAUGGAAUAUUCCGAUUUUUUUUGUCAAAAAAUAUAUUGGGAAAGUUUUAAGAACAUUAAAAAUGAAUUUUAAAUUCCUUACAAUAUGAGUAGAUGUGAUUUAAGAAUGAAUAUUAAAAGCUACUAAAAACAAAAAUUCUAGCAAUGAACACUAAAACUAUAUUAAUAAUGAUUUUUUUUGAUCAAACAACAUACAAAAUAUUAUUUCAGAAAAUGGAAACAAAAAUUAUUUAGAUAAUAAAGAAAAAACAGAAGAACAAUCUCGCGGCGUAGUGCGAGUACCAACCUAGUAUAUAUAAAAGCAAGAAAGCAUCAUAUAUAAGAGAUAUCAUCAAAGUAGAAAAGUAGAAGAGUAAGAAAUCGUUUUCAUCUUUUACUUUGACUUUAAUUCUUUGUAAUUCUAAUAUUCUAGCGGAUAAAUUAGCAAAGAUUACUUGUGUUUUACCACAUCUUGUUUUACAUGUAAACAACGUUUUAUCAGUUUGGUUAAACACAAUUUUUUAGUAGUAUAAAUUGUUGACAAAGAAAAAGAUAGCAUCAAAGUUUUGGAUGAAAUAAAAAUACUAGAACAAACAAUGCAUAACUAAAGAAAAAGAAACAACAUAAGUAAGUUUCAUGAAAAAGAUACAACUUUAGAUGGAUUUGGUUGUUUCGCACCUUUUUUUUCUUUGUUCUUCUUAUCUAAGAUAUCUAAUUCUUAUAACUCUAAAGCUGAUUGUCUAACUCGUUUUUAGAAUAUAUGUUUCAGAAACUUAUUUUGUAAAACUCUUUUUCUCCUGCUUAGACUACUAUAAAGUAUUAUUUUAAUUAAUGUGUGUUUGACAAAAAAAAAUAUUAUAUAUAUAUAUAUAUCAUCCAAUAGCUAGUGAUUAAGUGUCAAAUAUGGAAUGCAUUAUUUAUUUUCAUAUAGGAUAUUGAUUUUGUAAUUUUUAUAUUUUAUAAAAUGUAGACCAUAUAUUCACUCAAACUGAUUAGUUAUAUAUAAAAAAA
rnacentral:lncRNA from 1 species